rnacentral:rRNA from 1 species
GAUGAACGCUAGCGGCAGGCUUAACACAUGCAAGUCGAGGGGCAACACGGGUAGCAAUACCUGGUGGCGACCGGCGCAAGGGUGCGUAACGCGUGAGCAACAUGCCCUAUACAGGGGGAUAAUCCAGGGAAACUUGGUCUAAUAUCCCAUAGUAUUUAGAGGUGGCAUCACCACUAAAUUAAAGCUUCGGUGGUAUAGGAUUGGCUCGCGUGACAUUAGCUGGAUGGUGGGGUAACGGCUCACCAUGGCGAUGAUGUCUAGGGGUUCUGAGAGGAAGACCCCCCCACACUGGGACUGAGACACGGCCCAGACUCCUACGGGAGGCAGCAGUGAGGAAUAUUGGACAAUGGAUGGAAAUCUGAUCCAGCCAUGCCGCGUGCAGGAAGACGGCCCUAUGGGUUGUAAACUGCUUUUAUAUGGGAGCAAUAAGGUUUACGCGUAGACCGAUGAGAGUACCAUAUGAAUAAGCAUCGGCUAACU